AGGUCAUUUCAAAGAGGGCUUGUGGGGCUGUGAAACCAGGAGCUCUCAACACCGUGACCAAAGACUGAACUUCUCCAUAGGAUGCUGUAGUCAUCCUAUGUAGUAAAUAAA
ensembl:snoRNA